GGAGUCUGGGCCGUGUCUCAGUCCCAAUGUGGCCGUUCAUCCUCUCAGACCGGCUACUGAUCGUCGCCUUGGUGGGCCGUUGCCCCACCAACUAGCUAAUCAGACGCAGGCCCAUCUUCAGGUGAUAGCUUACAUGUAGAGGCCAUCUUUCAUGCAUCUCCCAUGCGGAAAACGCACUUCAUUCGGUAUUAGCAGGGCUUUCGUCCUGUUGUCCCCAUCCCAAAGGCAGGUUGCCUACGCGUUACUCACCCGUUUGCCACUGGAUCUCUCAAAAGCAAGCUUCUAAUCAAUCCCGUUCGACUUGCAUGUGUUAAGCACGCCGCCAGCGUUCGUC
rnacentral:rRNA from 1 species